AGAGUUUGAUCAUGGCUCAGGAUGAACGCUGGCGGCGUGCCUAACACGUGCAAGUCGAGCGAUCUUCUUCGGAAGAGAGCGGCGGACGGGUGAGUAACGCGUGGGUAACCUGCCUCAUACACAUGGAUAACAUACCGAAAGGUAUGCUAAUACAAGAUGAUAUAAGAGAUUCGCAUGGAUUUCUUAUCAAAGCUCCGGCGGUAUGAGAUGGACCCGCGUCUGAUUAGCUAGUUGGUAAGGUAACGGCUUACCAAGGCGACGAUCAGUAGCCGACCUGAGAGGGUGAUCGGCCACAUUGGAACUGAGACACGGUCCAAACUCCUACGGGAGGCAGCAGUGGGGAAUAUUGCACAAUGGGCGAAAGCCUGAUGCAGCAACGCCGCGUGAGCGAUGAAGGCCUUCGGGUCGUAAAGCUCUGUCCUCAAGGAAGAUAAUGACGGUACUUGAGGAGGAAGCCCCGGCUAACUACGUGCCAGCAGCCGCGGUAAUACGUAGGGGGCUAGCGUUAUCCGGAUUUACUGGGCGUAAAGGGUGCGUAGGUGGUUUCUUAAGUCAGGAGUGAAAGGCUACGGCUCAACCGUAGUAAGCUCUUGAAGCUGGGAAACUUGAGUGCAGGAGAGGAAAGUGGAAUUCCUAGUGUAGCGGUGAAAUGCGUAGAUAUUAGGAGGAACACCAGUAGCGAAAGGCGGCUUUCUGGACUGUAACUGACACUGAGGCACGAAGGCGUGGGGAGCAAACAGGAUUAGAUACCCUGGUAGUCCACGCCGUAAACGAUGAGUACUAGGUGUCGGGGGUUACCCCCCUCGGUGCCGCAGCUAACGCAUUAAGUACUCCGCCUGGGGAGUACGCUCGCAAGAGUGAAACUCAAAGGAAUUGACGG
rnacentral:rRNA from 1 species